UGGCUCCUUGGUCAAGCGGUUAAGACACCGCCCUUUCACGGCGGUAACAGGGGUUCGAUUCCCCUAGGAGUCACUUU
rnacentral:tRNA from 1 species